rnacentral:misc_RNA from 1 species
AAAUCAAAAUAAUUUCUAAAUCUACUUUUCCUUGACUGCACCACCAGGUCUGUCCCCACAUGUACAAAGCUUUUUGAAAUUUUUCUAAAACUUCUGUUUUAUUUUAAUGUAAAAUUUUGAAUCAAAUACAAAAAGCUGAAAUGCCAUUGACCCAGUGUAGGCAAUAAUUUUGUGGGGUUCCAUAAUCUCUUCUAAUAAGUUUGGUGUAGGCAAUAACUUUUGGGGGUUCCAUAGUAAUGUUUAAUCUGUCUCUCACUCUCUCUUUCUAUCACUUCAUUCUCCUUUAUUCUUCAAUCAAGGCCCUUCUUUUUUACUUUACCUUUUUCUAGUCUUCUAUUUUUCUGUCUCUUGGUCGUCUAUUUUACCCACCUAUCUUCCAUCCCGUCUUUCUCUUAUUCCUCUUCUACUCUAUCUCAUCCUCUGUUUGCUUUCCCUUUAGUUCACUUGUUUCUAUUUUGCUUCUUCCCUUAUUUUUUUUUCCCAAUUGAUUCAUAAGAAACCUCGAAUAUUGUUAUUCCUCACUCUUAAGGAGAUGGGUAAUUUACAUUCCUGUUAAAUAUGCAUCCUAAUAUUCUGCUAAUUUUAACAUUAAUAAUUCCAUAAGAGA